rnacentral:rRNA from 3 species
AAUUGAGGGGGGCUGCUCCUAGUACGAGAGGACCGGAGUGGACGCAUCACUGGUGUUCGGGUUGUCAUGCCAAUGGCAUUGCCCGGUAGCUACAUGCGGAAGAGAUAAGUGCUGAAAGCAUCUAAGCACGAAACUUGCCCCGAGAUGAGUUCUCCCUGAGACUUUAAGUCUCCUGAAGGAACGUUGAAGACGACGACGUUGAUAGGCUGGGUGUGUAAGUGCAGCGAUGCAUUGAGCUAACCAGUACUAAUGAACCGUGAGGCUUAACCUUACAACGCCAAAGGUGUUUUG